GAAAAUCUGGCCGAGUACAUUGGAACGCUGAAAAACGGUUUCCUUUCAACAAAGUGAAAGCAGCUGCUUCACACAAGAAGCAUUCACGGCGUUUGUGGAAGUCAUCGUGCCCUCAUUCAAACGCUGUAAUGCUCAGAUGUGCAAGCGGCAGAUGGCCCCUCCUCCCUGUCACGCAGCAGGCGGUCUGGCGGGACACCCUUGGCGCCUCCGAGGAGGCCGGCGUGUGCUGGAAGGCAUCGAGGGGCGGCCCAGUAAGUUUCCCCUCUGGCUUGCUGGUGAACAGGACAACUUCCUGAGGGUCACAAGGGUCAACAGGAUGAAUGGAAAGUUUCACGCGCGGUAGGGAGAGAUGAUACCCAGAGAACUGAAUGACUCUUUUUUAAAAAGCAAAUACGUUCUCAUGCUCAAUUUAGAGGGUGGAGAAUAUUACAGGGACCUUUUAUUCAUUCAAUAAAUCUUUAUUAAGCCCCAGCUUUGUGCCAGACACCUGCUGAGGACACGAUGAAUGAGACUGCGUGCCCUGCUCUGGAGAAGCUCAGCCUGGAAGGAGUUAGCCAAAUAUUCAUACCCCGAGAGCUGCCUGAGAAGUGACUGCUGCGUCUUACAGUUGCCAUCAGAAGAAUGUGUGUCGAGUGUCGCCAGCACUGACACUUCCCUGGAAAUACCCAUCCCUCAGGAAUUUAAAACUGAUUGUUUCGUCACCAUGACUUCAAGCUGAGGCCUUCGUGAUUAGUAAUGCCUAAAUGUGAUCUAACUUUCUGAGAAUGAGGAAAGUGAUGACAAUGAAAGCUGCAAUUUUUUUUGACAAAGGAUAAAUUUUUUUUAAUUGAGGUCAUGAUGGUUUAUAACAUUGUGAAAUUUCAAUUGUACAUUGUUAUCUGUCCAUCACCACAUGAGUGCGCCCCUUCAGCCCCUGUGCCCACCUCCCAGCCCCCUCCCCCUGGUGACCACUGAACUGUUCUCUUUGUCCAUGUGUUUGUUUAUCUUCCACACACGAGUGAUUCAUAUGGUGUUUGUCUUUCUCCGUCUGGCUUAUUUCGCUUAACAUAAUACCCUCAAGGUCCAUCCAUGUUGUUGCAAAUGGGACAAUUUUGUAAAAGCUGCAAUUCUCAACCUUUUUUAGCGGUUGCCAUGCCAGCAUUGUUCUAACCGCCCUGCCUCUGUCAGCUCACUGAACUCCUGUCACCGUGCCAUUCUUCCAGGUGGCAGCACUGAGGCAGGGAGAGGCAGUGCAACUUGCCCACCCACAGAGGUGGGAGCCGAGGCACGUAUUCCAACCGUGCCCUCUGGCCUGGGGGCCUGUAGCGUUAGCCACUUGGCUGUCCUGCCUCCUAGGCUUGAGGAAAAGCAAAGCAGAGAUAUGACUAAAGCCGAUUGUUUUCCUUACAGGCUGCCUUGGGUAGCAUUAGUUCUUCCUCUUGUACCAAAUUCUUCAUUUGUAAAUUCCAACAGCCUAUUUACCAGGAUGUUGUGGCAACUCAUUAUUUAAAUGUAUUCAUAGUUCCUUGGAAGAAAUGCUACAUAAACAUUACACAACCAUUUAAACAAUGUAUGAAAUGUCUUCACCUGAAUCUAUGA
rnacentral:lncRNA from 1 species